AUCCGUCACCUGACACGGCCCUACCAGGAACAGCCGCGCUCCCGCGGAUUCUGGUGCUGCUCGCGUCCCCGCUCCCCUAUUCCCCUUAUUUUAUUCCUGGCUCCCCUCGUCGAAAGUCUUCCAUUCUUCAAACUAGAUUAUUUAAAAAUGAAAAAGGAAGAAAGGAAAGCGAGGUCAUCUCAUUGCUCUAUCCGCCAAUCAGGAGGCUGAAUGUCAGUUUUGAACUAAAAGCCGCUCCGCUCCUCUUCUAGAUUUGGAAAACAAGCGAAAUUAAACUAAACCGCUGCACGCCUCUGACGCGACAUCUGGACACGGCGCGGCGCUGGCGCUGCCGGAGCUGUCGACCCGGCCUGGCGCCGGACUAGUGUCCCUUUUGAUGAGAAGAAUAAGCCUCAUUCUGAUUCAACAGCAGAGAUCAAAGAAAAGACUUCUGUUUUCUGGCCACCAGAUAUAUGUUAUCUGUGCUUAAAGAAUUGAAAAACACACAUCAAAGGAGAAUUUUCUUGGAAAGAGAGGGUUCAAGCAUCACUGUUAGGUGUGCUGGAAUCCUUUCCCGAGUCAGUACUGCUUUCUAGAAGAAAACCGGGGAGAUCUAUUUGGAAUGUAUCUAACUCCAAAGAAACCAUCAGAGGUAACAGUAGAGACGGGGUUUCACCAUGUUGGCCAGACUGGUCUUGAACUCUCGACCUCGUGAUUCGCCCGCCUCGGCCUCCCAAAGUGCUGGGAUUACAGGUGUGAGACACCACACCCGGCGGAUAGAGAGAAUUUUGACAGGUGAUGGAGGCUUUUUAUUUUGCCACAAAACCACUGGUGACGUUGCCUGUGGCCACCUUGGAGAAGACACUGGAGGAUGAUUACGGAGCUAGGAAUUUCCUACGAAGCUGGGUGAUAAAAGGACAUUGGACAAAAACACAGAUAGCUUCAUUCUAUACCAGGAUCCAUCACUGAUUAGCUGUAUUAUAUUUGUCUCUACUGUAAUUUGAGGAGAAUGAUACCUGCUUCUCUAUCUUGUUGGGUUUUACAGAUGAUGUAUUGAAAGUUCAAUAAAAUCUAUAAACAAU
rnacentral:lncRNA from 1 species